CUGGAGAAAGCCUUCAUAUCCUUUCCCCAAAGGCGUGGGGUUGAGUUGCAGCUGCCGGCUCUUCUAUACGAGCCGUAAAACCUUUCAGACGCCGAGCCGACCUCUGAGUCCUCAUAGAUUGAAGAAAGCAAGGAGAACGAAGGAAUAGCAAAAAUGGCGACAAUAACAGCUACAGCAAUUAAGGUAUAGAGCUUAAUCGAUGAGAAACAACAAAUCCAGAAUAGCAAGCGAAUGAAUCGAACGGAACUGAGGCAGAGGUUAGUGUUUUGUUUUACCUGAGAAGUGAGGCUUUUAGCGGAUGGCUUGGUUAGAGCGGCGGAGACGGCGGCGUUGUCUUCGUCUUCCGGCUGCUCUUGGAGAGAUCCGGCGGUGUUGAGUUGCUUCGAACAGGCUAUGCAGGUCAACAUUGCUCGCUGUAAACGGAAAUGGAAUCGAAUCCCCUAAAAAUCAGCUGUGAGGUUCAAAUCCUGGCAAAGAAAAAAAAAAGGCUGAAAUUCGAAGAAAUUGGAGGUGGUAA